AGCCUGUUGUCACAGGCACAACUUUCCUGAUGAAAUACUUCAAGCCUCCAGGCCCCUGGUAACAGAAUAACAAAGCGAUGACACACGUCCCUCAAGCUACCAAGCAGCAACAUGGGGGCCUAACUUUUUAAUCAACUUUUUAAAAAUCACAGCCAUGUUUCUUAGCCAGAGACACUGAGCACAGCUGUGGGUGCGGUUCUCUAAGAGCCGCCCCGGUGCAGACGUGCUCACGAUCCACGACCCCCGCAGGCGGAGCCCUGGCUCCAGCCCGGCGGGCCGCGGGCUUCCCCUCCCCCGCCCCGCUCCCACCCGCAGGCCUCAGCGCUGACGUCACCGGCGCUCACGAGGCCCAGCCGACGCCCGAGGAGUCACGCGCUGCCGCUCCACCCCCACCCCCGCCGCCAGGGAGUGAUGCGCCCUCUGCAGAGAUCCCUCCGCUGCCGCCGCUUGGAAUUUUCCAGACGCUCUGCCGGCGCUUCUUUCGGGCUUCUUCUGGGCGGGAGUGACCUGAGGCGACCCCCAGCAGUUCCCUUCGCUUCCAGAGAGCAGCCCCAUCCCGCCUCAUCCACUCCCCACCCACACCUCCCCUCAAGGAACGGGAAGCCUGCCAACCCUCGGCUCCAUCACAGGCUGAGAAGGGGAUUUCUCUCCCCACCCUCGUCCCCGUUGGAAUCCGCCUCCCCCCCCCAAGGUGACCUUGAGAUCUGUCGUCGAUCUCAGGAGGCACUUGCUUAGAGGAGUGGGGAUAAUCGGGGAAUUCGAGACCUGGACCCUCGGGAAACUGGGAGCCGCCCCCAGUCGUCUACGUGGCCAGGGUCGGGGAGGGACUUUUUUUCUGGUGGCAGUGGAGGAAUCGUCCCGUUGAGCAGUGCCCCAGUGACGCGGCCCAGGACUAUAAAAGCAAAAGUUGUGGCCUGUCCAGCAGGAGUUAGCGACAGGGAGGGUCAGGGGCCUGGGCUUAGUUGUGGAGGGCGGAGUUGACCAGUUUAGGGUUUUAGGAGACCAAUGAGAGAGAUGGCGGAGUUAGAUGAGGCUGGGGGAUUUGGGGUGCCAAGAGAAGGAGGGUUAACGGGGGGACUAGAUCUUGGGGAAAUUGUGCUGGGGAGAGCUGUGUUGAAAGGGCUCGCAGUAACCCAGGGGGAAGACGACACCCCAGGCCUGGCUGUCGCAGCUGUCUGCUGGAGAAGGGGAACUUGACCUUUGGGUGGGCGCCGCUCCUGCGUAGGCUGAGCGGCCCCUGGUGCCCUGGUUUGUGGAGGAGGAGGAAGGCAGAAACGGAGAGGUGGAGGAGGUUGAGGGUCUUGCCUCCCUUGCUGGAGGCGGAGUUGGUCAGUCGAUGCUUUGAAAAGGAGCUGGAAGGCAGGCAGUGGGGUGCAGGGUGGCAGGUGGGCAGGGAGGGCAGGACUUGAACUUGUCAAUACCAGCAGUCCCCUUUUUUUCCAGACAAAGGGUUGUGAGCCUGCUUGGGGAUGAGGCCUCAUGUGGUGGAAGCUGCCCUUAGCUUCGCGGGGCUGACAGCUCUGGCCCGGGGCGGUAUGUAAGUCUGGCUCGGCCCGGGACAGGGUCCAGCCAGGCCCAGCCUGGUGAAACCCAGGUCUGGGUGUGAGGGUGGUCUAGGGAGUGAGUGAGGAGGUAAGGUGCGGGUCCAAGCGGUUACUGUUAUGUCUGGCAGGCGGGAGCUGUAGGCGGACAAAAUUGACCCUCACUUUAUUUUCCAGGUGGCAGUGCUCCCCUUUGGACUUUUCCUCUAGGUUCCGCGCUAAUCUCUUCUGUGAGCUCACUCUGCCCCCCCCCCCCCCCUCACUCUCUCGAGGUUACCCAUUCACUUAAAACAUUGCUUCUGGUAAUCUGGUAAGAUGGGAAAGUUGUUGCCAUUGGAGUCGGUAUCUUGGUAACGGUCAAGAGGAGAGGCAUCCCCUGCUGAGACUCUGGGUGGGCGGGGUGGUGUUGCUUGCCAGUGGAGAGGGUGGGGAUUGAAUGUGCACCCUUGGGCGGGCCCGCAGCGACGGUACCAUCUAAACGCUACGAAAUGCCUCAUAGACGGUGGUUUGUUACUGUAGUGCUCAUCAUGGCGAUCUGAUGGCACCAGGAGAAAUGGAGCCCCUGGCCAGUGUGAGUCGUAGCGGUGCAGGAGGGGAGACCCUGGAGGAAAGAGCCCGCCUAAAUUGCUGUCUGCAGAGUGAAUUUCCAGAGGCUUAGGAGGAGGAAGUUCUCCAGUGGCAUGUUUCCAGGCCUUGCUCAGGAAGCCCUGUAUUCAGAGGCCAUCCUUUAAGGUUUUCAUGAGCUUAUGAGGGGCAGUCUUUAAAAGGCCAAAGCAGAUGGAGCCGGGCCGUCAGCAGAUGUAUUGCUUUGAGUGUUUGAUCCGGGAGCAACGAUCUCUGGGCACGUGAAUGUCAGCAGGCACGUCUCCUGGGUUGGAGGUUUCAGAUGCUGCCAUCUUCUAAAUUGUCUCCUGUCAUACUAGUGUGCUACGAACCUUGUUUCCAGAAGACUCUUAAGCUGUAGAACAUUUUAACGCUGAUGCCACAACACAGAUGAUGCCUUGUAGAUGGAGCUUGCACAUGGAUCCCAGUGACCCUCAUCUACCCACCUGCCUUCCUGUGCUUUUGUCGGAGGAAUUCUUAGUGUGAUAUAUAAUGUGUGUGUUGGGAAAGCGUUCCAGACUGAAAUGCAUUAGGCAAAUACUUAAAUGAAGCCAACUGACUUAAAUGAAGCCAACUGGCCAAGUAGGGGUGGGGGUGGGGUGUCAUUGUGCUGUGCUAGGUGGGAGGGCACGAGAUGGUCAUGUCCAGAUGGUGAUAAAAAUGGCAGGUUUCGUUUGGUCACUUCUGCUACCAGAAGGGAAUAGUUGGGGUACCAAGAGUAAUCUUCUGUUCAUUUUGCUCUAUAUGCUUAAUUUAUCUUACUUGAUUAGAUUUCAGAGGAAUCUUCGUGUUCAAAUGGGAGGGCCCUGAGGUGAGGGGUUGGGUGGGAAACAGCCUGGGCUGGGGAGGGUGAGCUGAAGAGAAGGCUGUGAUUAGGUGUGGCUUGAGGAGGGUGGGAGGGGUAGGGAAAGUGGGUUGAAGGGAAUUUUCUGGAGAAAAGAUCAGUAGGCAGAGCUCUGGGGAAAUAGAGCUCAAAGGCAAAGAAAAUGCUAGUUAAUAGUACAUUGUUAAUGUUAAAAUGUUACUUGAAAAGUUUCUACAGUGCUUAAAACUGCUAAGUGUGGGGAAGGAAAAAAGCAAAAUUGUUUUGCUUUGCUACAAGAAGGGGAAGACUGAAAAGUUAACUGAAACCCGGAUAUCAGUCUUUUGAAAGAUUGUUAGGGACUUGCAUCAGCAGAUUAACAUCUUUCACUCCUUUGCAAGCUUCUUAAGUGGUUUAUCUGAAGGUGUGCAAUGUUCAGGGACUAGUUUCAGAAGACUUUCAGUACCCUAAUUGUGGGCUUUUAAAGUAUUUUUGAGAUUUUGGUACACGCUUAGAUGGCCUCUUCUGGGUCUGUAACAUUUUUGUUCACUUGGUAUUUUGCAGUUGAAAGUUUGAGCAAAGUGAAAACACAAUGAUUUUUAAAGGAAUUUUGUGUGUUACUUCCUGUCUUAUAAACAUCUUUUCUUUGUGAUGAGUGAUUAGUAAUAGCCAAAGAGCUUUCUUUUCAUCCUCACUGUAACAAGGAGACCUUAAAUCGUGAUCACUCUGAUUACUGUAAUACUUGGUAGCAAACAAUCUAUGUGCCCUUGCUAAGGUUCCAGUUAACAGUUCACUCCAUCUUCAAUUUGAAUGUUUGGGUUAAGUGACGGCGUACUAGAGGGGAAACUUAACCAAAAUCAGGUAGGGAAAUAAGAGCAAAACUGGGGGUGGGGAGUUUCUUUCCUGGAUUAUGGUGUUUGUAAAAAUUUAGGGAAGUAUCAAUUUUGUGAGAAUACCAGUGACUUUAUCCUGUCCAUUCUCCCAUUGAAUUUCGUUUUGAGAAUUUUAAACCCUCAAUACUUAUGACAUGGAAUUUUUCUGGGUUCUCUUUUGAAUGUUUACAAGUAUGUUGAUCCGUUCUUAACCUGUAACUUGGCAUGUGAUACAGUUACUGUCAUGAAUUUAGAGUAUUAGUCAUGCGUGUAUGGGGAAAUACAUUCCGGUAAGCUGUUGUGAAACAAACUGUAAAAACAGGUGGAAAGGGUUCUUGUACGUUGCUCUGUAUGCUAAGAACCAGUCCUUGUUGCAUCAUGUAUGUGACUACUAACACUUUCUUCCCCUUUACAGCACGAAUAAAGGUUUGCGUUCUGGACUCAUUAGAAUUGCUUGUAUUGCUAUAUUUUUUCAACCCUGAUCUUGCCUGUGUAUCAUGAAAUGAAAUGUACCUUCAUACUGUAGAUUUAGGCUUGGAUUCACUAAUACAACUCCAGACUGAGCUCGUUGAGCUCGGUGUGGUAACCUCAACAGAACGGGUAGGUCCUGAAUGGCCUGCAUCCCCAGUGGCAGUUGGGGAUGGACUCUGCUGACUGGGAGUGUGUGAUGGUUGUGCAAAAUGUGAUGACAAAGCACAAGCCAGCGAAGGUCAUUGUCAGGGUGGGGGACUAUUUCCUAACUUCUUGGAAUUUUACCCAAUUAUAUUUCCAAAUGAUAUUGUCAAAAAGGGGAUCUCUCAAUGACUGUAAGCAGCCUAACAAAUGGAAAGAACAUGUAAUAUAUGUUUGACAUAGUUGUGGUCUUUGGGAGGCUGGAAUGUGUCUAGGAUUUGGGUUUAAGCACAUACUUCUCAUUUUACUAAAGCGUUGCAUAAGUGCUAUGCUAAGCAAUUUGGAAUCCAGGGUGUGUGUUGUGUCUAAGCUGACCCUGUGUCCUGGGCGGGGAGAGCCCAGCAGUGAUGCUCUUGUGUGUUCAUUGGGGCCCUAAGGUUUUGCUUUGCGCGAGAUGAACUUGGAAUAGAAACCACCACCCGCCUCUGCUGAGAAGGCUUUUAUGUCCAAGGCAGUGGGAAAGGGACAGGGACAGGUUGUGCUGUGACCACAUUGAGGGGCUGGGAGAGCAGCUGGGUGUGACCCCUGCAGAGACUGGAAUUAGGUUCCCGCCUGUCCGAGGCUCACAGCUGUCCAGGUUCCAGGAUCUUUCCCCUGCUCGGCACCCUGUUCUCUGAUUUUCCCAGAACAAUCGAGGCUUCCUUUCCUACCUUGCCCUUCUUGUUUUUGCUCAGCUGUCUUCUGCCUGCCUUUCCUUUUUUUCAGAACUUAACUUUUCCUUUUGUUUUUAUACAGUGGUUAUCAAACUGAAGGGUAGCUGCUAUGAGUGCCUCUGGGUACUGUUACCUAGUGACUGGUGGGCUGAUGAAGGGUUUCUCCACAGGGGUGUAAAUGUUCGUCUUUGAAAAGGGACUGUGAAGUGGGCCUGAUGGUACAGGAGCAGAGCAGGCAGCUAGAGGCUGUGCCCAUGCCCUCCUGGCCUCUGCCUUGUCCCAGGGCCCUGCCUGUUCUUUAUCCUCUGUUCACAGGUCAGGUGGGGAUAGGUCAAAGGUAUUGUUAAUGGUGUUGGUGAUCACUGCUGAUCAGUUUUUGUCUUCAUUCAUAGAUCUGAAUUCAGCCUUCCCUCUGAACUCUCAGAGGCAGUGGAUGGUACAAUGAAAUUCAGUGAAUGGGCUUGUAGCAUUUAGGUAGAAAAUGGAGAUCUGGUGCAGCUAAAUGUAAUGGGGUAUAAAAAUAACAAGAGGUGAAUUUGGAAGUUCUUUCAAAAAGAAAUAGCUGGAGAGGAAGUGUUGGUUGAGGCUCCUUUGUGGGCCCAGACUGGACACCCUGAGAACUGUGGAAAUGGCCUGUGUUACAGAAGGGGUUCCUCACCCCCACUUCACUCUCUUGGCUGCCCUUGGUUUGUCUUACUGGUUGUGGCCAUGAAGGGACUCCUUGAACCUCUUAUGCCAGGGCUAACCUCUUGUGUACUUAAGUGUCUGGAGCAAAUGUUAACCUCUGGCCUUGAGCAGUACUUGCUGUUGUGCAGUGCUGAUAUUAAAUGAAAUGGCAAGACAGGCUUUGGAUAUUUGUGGUAAGUUUUAAAUGUUUAACAUGCAAAAAUAUACAGAUGCAGUCUGGAAAUGACAAGAGGAAGAUAGAAAAAUAACCAGAAAUAAGAAAGCUGUAUUUAGGGAGGGUGGCCUUGACCUUCCUCUGGGUGAAGGCAGCUGCUUCUACCCUUGGUCUCCCAAGUAGGACGCCUUCUGCUGAAGGCUCCACCUUCCAGGGCCCCUCAGCAUUGCACCAACAUCCCUUUCUUUUAUUUUAAGUAACUGUUAGUUCUCAUGUUGUAAAGGGGUUUAUUGUAAAGUUUACAAAUAAGAAAAAUGAUAAAAACAAACUCCUCAGUAAUCUUAUUGACAAUAGUUAUUGGCCUCUUUGCUUCUAGAGGUUUGGUUUUUUUCCUAUGCAUAGGAUACUUAUACCUUUUUACUCAAAAUUGGAAUUAUACUGUAGAUUCUGUUGUGCAACUCUUUUCACUUAGGCAUCUUUGUGGUGACAUAAUGUGCAUUGUGUGACUUUAUCAAUUUAAAAUAUCUUCAUUUAGACAACAUGUAAGUUAUUUUCCACUUUUUCUUAGUAAGUAAUGCUGUGAUAACCCUCCUUCUAGCUCAAACUUUAUCGUAUCUGAUAGUAUUUCUUUGGGGUACAUGAAUGUAUUUCAACACAUGAAUUGCCUUUGUCAGACUUCUUGCGUCUAAGUUCACGUUGCUAAGUUGCCCUCAUGGGAGGGGUUUUGUAAAUAGCAUCCUCAAGCUUAAGGUAAGCCUUGUUGGCCCCACUUUUUCUCGAACGAGCUAGUUUCACACUAAAAACCUUUGCUCCCGUUUUGGAUCCAGCAGCGUUUUUUGUGUGUGAGCCCUGCUAGUGACGCUGAAAUCUGUGUGUUUCGACAUCUGCAGUGUUGUAUGUGCGUCCAUGUGUGACUUUGUACUUCGAAAUGGCUCAUUUUUCUAUUUUGUAAAAGCACUUAUGUAUUAAUAAUGCUUCAUUCUGUUUGAUGCAUAUAUUUUCCCAGUUUGUAGAUUGCCUUUUCAUUUUUCAGUCAUACAAAAGUUAGUGUUUCUGAGUCCGUCAUUCUUCAUGUGGUUUCUGUACUUGUGUUAUGUCUAGAUCUCUCCCAACCCCAAAGUAUGUAUUAAUCUCUGUUAUUUUGUGACAAUUGUAUGGUUUCAUUUUUUUACAUUUGAACAUUCAAUCCAACUGGAGUUUAUUAGCAGUCGGGGCUGGGUGUGUGUGUGUGUACAAGGGGAGGCCUGUGCCCGCCCAGAGCCCCCGGGCUUGCUCCUGCCCUGUGGCUGGAUGAUGGAGUGGCAGAGAGUGCUAUCAGCUGGGAGACUUGUCACAACUGGACGGUUCGCUGAAGACGUGGGGGCAGGUGGCUGUUGUGUUAACUGAGCCCAAUGGGCACCCCUGGGUGGGGGUGGUUCUGGUGCAGACAGACGUGCGGAUCUACUCCUGACUGGGAGCAGUUUCUGAGCCUCACGGGGCUGGUUUUCCUCCUGUGUGAGGUGGGAGAAUGGAUGUCUGUAUUUGGCACGUGGCCGCUCCUCACUGAGUGGUGAUGGUGAUUCCUUCGCCUCCUUUGUGGCCAGCCUAGGUCCAGCCUCUUCCUUCUGGUUCCCACUAGUUACCCGCCUUCUCUGGGCCUUUCAUGUCGUGUAAUCCAUGUGCAUGUUCUGGGCUGUUCUGGUUUUCCACCUUAAGUUUGUUUCCAUGCAGAUUUCCCAGUAUCAGCAGAGUCCACAAAUGUGUUGGAAGUGCUUUUUCUCAGGGGUAUUAAUUCUCCCACAGAAAUCCCAUGGAGGACUCUUCUAGAAACCUGUGAGUGCUCUGAAGCUGUUUUUCCACGGAAAGCAUAAGCUUGCUGAAGGGGUUCAUGACCUCAAGAAAAUACCAUAACGAACAGUUGCAGUACUUUAUCCUAUUGUGCAUAAGCUAUAAGACGUUGAGCCGGUUUCUUAAGUUGUAAACAGUGUUUUAACUAUUUUCAGCUGUGCUAGUAUGAGCAUCUCUUAAGUUUUGUGAAAAUAUGUAAAUAUGUAUUGGUAGAAAUAUAUGUAUAUAUGUAUAUCCACAUCUGUUUUCUAGGGUGGCACAGCCUGGGCACUGAGCAGACUCUCAGAUACUCUCCAGAUACCUUACACUUCCUCUUGUGAGAAUAUCCAUUUCCCUUCAUAAUUGCUAGCAUCAGGUUUUUCUGUUUUAUUUAUUGCUACUUUCUAAAAAAUGAGUGGUAAACUAUGCAUAACAUGAAUUUCACCAUCUUAACCAUUCUACUGUACAGUUCAGUAGCGUUCAGAUAAUCUCCAGAACUUUCUCAUUUGGUAAAAUUGAAACUCUGUACCCAUUAAACUCAUCCUCUUCUCCCUAACCCUGGGCAACCACCAUUCUGCUUCUCUGUUUCUAUGAGUUUGAGAACUCUGGGUACCUCGUAUUAAGUGGAAUCAUGUGAUAUUUGUGUUUUGUGACUGGCUUAUUUUAUGUAGCAUAAUGUCCCCUAGGUUCAUGCAUAUUGUACCAUGAGUCAAGGUUUUUUUCCUUUUUAGAAGAAGAUUCCAUUGUAUGUAUACAUCACAACUUGUUUAUAUUGGACAUAUCUAUUGACCAGCUCAUCCUUGAACAUUGGGUUGCUUCUAUUUUUAAGUUGUGAAUACUUCUGUUAUGAACAUGGUGUACGAAUGCCUUUUUGAGACACUGCUUUCGAUUCUUUUGGAUACAGAGGACAAUACUCAGAAGGGGUAUUGCUGCCUCAUAGGAUAUUGCUAUUUGGGGAGCACUUUCAUAGUAUCUUCUGUAGCAGCUGCGCCAUGUUAUACUCCUGUGGACAGUUUACAAGGUUUCAUAUCCUCACCAACACUUGUUUUUUAGUGUAGCCAUCUUAAUGGGUGUGAAGUGAUAUUUCAUUGUGAUUUUGAUUUACACUUCCCUAAUAGUGGUGUUGCAUCUUUUCAUAUGCUGUCUGCCCAAUUCUGUAUCUUUGGAGAAAACGUCUUUUCACCUUUGCCCAUUGAAAAAAUGGUUUGUUUGUUUUCUGUUGUUGAUUUAUGGGAGUUAUUUACAUAUUCUGGAUAUUAACCCCUUAUUAGAUACAUGAUUUACAAAUACGUUUUUCCAUUCCAUAGGUUGCCUUUUCACUGUUGAUUGUGUCUUUUGAUGCACAGAUGUUUCUAAUUUUGAUGUAAUUCAAUUUAUCUGUUUUUAUUUUUGUUUCCUCUGCUUUUGGUGUCAUGUCCAAGAAACUGUUGCCAUGUUGAAUGUUAUAAAGUAUUUAUUGUUACUUUAUUUUAAAAGUACUUACCUGGUUAUUUUAAAAGUACUUACGUGGUCAGCCUGUAUUUCUGUAAUUACUGUUUAGUCUAUUUUACCACUUGAUUUACCAUUUGUAUUUUUUCUUUGACCAUUUACCAUAUAAAAUUUUUGUACUGGUUUUUAUAAAGAUCAUGAAUUCUUGUACAGUUGGGAAGGGAAGCUUUUGCUAGUGAUUAUCAAACUUACUCUCAUUUUUUCCUUUUAUUGUUGUGCUUAGAAAGUAUUAUACAAAGACAUUUUAAAGAUUGAUGUAACAAGACUAAUAAUAAUGAAUAAGACUGUUACUUUCUUUACUUUUUCUUUGGUAGCUAAACAUAUGUGUACUCCCACCUUAGAGUAAAUGCUCUUCUCCAUUUAAGGAGUUAUGUAUCCAGCCUACUUGGUGUCUCUAAACUAAUUACACUGAUAAAAUUGAAUUAUCAGACUUCAAGUAAAUACUGUCAUCGCUCUUUUGUUCCAGGUCUGUCAGUAUUAGCUUCUUGUCAUUAUCUGCAUGAAUCUACUUCUCAAAUUUUUAGUCUCUAGUUUUUGUUGUUUCUAAUCAAAUGCUUUGGAUUGUAACGACUUAGUGUUCAUUAUAAAAUCUAGUAAGUGGAAGAUAUGAUACUCCUUAAGACAAGAAUAUUCCUUCUCUUUGUUGGAACUUGAGCACACAGAACUGGGCUAAUCUUUGGUUCGAGACAUAAAACAUGGCUGUCUUUUAUUUGGUUCUGAGAUGUUUUAAUGCUGUGGCAAACAUUUCUGAAUCUUCUAGUAUAUAACUAAGACUUGUAGACACUGACUUUGGCCACCUGUGUGGUUCUGCUCAUUCCCCUUCCUGCCUCCCUCUAAGCCAAAGUGGUUAUGAUCCUGAAUACUAAGUUUUUCUUUUACUUAUUCUUUUCUCAUAUAACUUUGGAAAAAGAAAAAAACUUACCUAAAUGAACUAUAAUUUUCAUUUUAGUAGUUUUUAACUUUAUAGAAAAAGUAUAUAAGCUUCUGGAAUUUUCUCAUUUAAUGAUAUUAACAUUCAUCCUUUACCUUGUGUGUAGUUGAUUUGGAGCCUCUCAUGUGACUAUAUGGACAUAGUUAAUGAUUCCAUUUUUCCCAUUGUUUUUUAUUCUGGUCAGUGUAAUUGGAUAAGUGGUAGGUGGAUGCUCUCUUGUACAGAAUUAAAGCUUGACUGACUAGGUUGUCACUACCAAACACCACCCCCUGACCCCAGCCAUCCCCACCUUGAGUGCUGUUUCCUUCUAGACCUUUUUCUAUACACUUUUAUCCACAUCUAAUAUUUAAAAAUCUAUAUAAGUGGGAAAAUACUGUUUUAUAGCAUAUAUCAUUACUGACUUGCUUUUUUCACUUGGCAGUAGGGAGAUUCCCAUGAGUACGUGUUGAACUGCCAGCCUUGUAUUAAGCUGCUGGGCACUAGUCCUUCACUUGGACGUUCCGUGAGUUAUUUAGAGCUUCUGCUGCUGGUAGAUAUUUACACUCUUUCAGUCUUUUUGGAUGCUGUGUGAUCAUUGUCAUACACACCCUGUGUGCAUACACAUGAAUGUUUCUCAGAGUCGGUACCAAAAUGUCAGACAUUGUAUACUCAAUUCUGCCCUGUUCUCCAGAGUGGGCGUACAAAUGUGCUUGCCAGAGUGUGAGUGUGUAUGUCCAUAUCCUCUUAGACAGUCUGAAGAGCAAGCUCUGAAAUUCCUGCCAGUUGCUGUCUUUGAUCUGUCAUGUUCACAGUGACCCACUGAGACUUUAAUGGGUACAAUGGACUCUUGUCAUCUGUGGGUUUACAUUUGUGGGCUUGAAGCUGAUGGAGGUGCCAGAAUCCAAGGCAUAUAAUCAUUUGUAAUCUUCUUGAGGUAUAAUUUUUAAAAUUAUUCAUGUCAUGAGGCUGCUGAGAGUACCCAGCCAAACACUCUCCAUCCACGUCACCCUGUGGCUUUGUUCUCCACUUGUCUGCAUUGCAGCAACUCUCGAAGGGACCAAAACUUGGAAGAUUUAGGUAAGUUCAUGGCUAAUGUUACUAUACUGUGUACUGUAGUAAUGGAUGGGACUGUGGAGUGUAUGUUUGUGGCAGAAUUUAUAUUAAUCCCUUUAUAAAUCACUAGUUUUGCAUUUAAAUUUUAAACACUGUGUAAAAAAAACAGAAGAUGUUUCUCUGUAGUUCUUCUCCCAAGAAUAGUUAUUAAUAGAAAUUUCAUUUAUUGUCCUUCAGAGAUUUCCCCUCCGUGGACAUACAACAGUUUUAUCCUAUUACUAUCUGCUCAAUUGCAAACAUGCGGUGUGACUAUUCUGCAACAUCUUUAUUAUUUUCAUGAUUCUAUAAUAUUUAUUUAAUCUUGCACAUGUUGGUGUAGUCAUCUUAACCCUUUUCCUGUUGAUGAGUUUUUAAGGUGGUUUCCAGGGUUUUCUGGCCGUACAGACAGUGCUGCAGUGAGCGUCUCACAAACACCUUUCUGUGCAUGUGCUGUGCCAGCCCUCGGGGCACGAUGCUGCAGGAAGCGUGAGCUCCAGGCACACCUGCUCCAAACGCCCUGCACCCAGCUCGCCUGCCCUGGUGCUGUCCAGGUCUGGGGCUCAGUCUUGUGAGGUGGGUUGAGAGUUUCUGCUGCCCAAGUAGAAUAAUGCUGGUCUUCUCCUAAUGUGCUGUGGAGUUCAGUUGAAACUGCUUGUUCAUACCAGAUUUUAACUGAAGAUGGUAUCCGACUUUUUAGCACAAAACAAGGACAGGCCUAACAAACCUCAGUCUUUUCCAGUGUUCUUCCCCUAAGCAGGUUGAAAAACAAACUUCUAGAAAAGCAGUUGUGACAUUUGCAAAAUUACCUUAUGUGUUGGUCUGUUGAAACCUGACUGGCCGCCGUCUGUAGGCAUUUCUAUCCUCAGGGGAAAGAGGUGUGUUCAGGUGAGGCACAGUCUGCUCCCUGUCUUCUCAGUGCUGCCUUGGCUGCUUUCUGGUUUAGGUACAUGCUUGCUCUCUUCUGAGAGGCCACCCAAUGGCGGGAACACAGGUGUGAAUCCCUCUGUCUCUUACUCUCCUCGUAGGGUCACGAGGAGUUCGGGGUCUGUCCCCCCAGCCUUGCUCUCUCCCCGCAGCUUCUGGGGUGAUUGCUGCAGUGUCCCCCUUACUCUUCUUUCAAUGUAACAACUGUGUGACCCGCCGUCUGGGUGUCAGAUCCAGGCCCUGCCUCUGCCCUGAGCUGACCCUAAGGGCAAAGACUCCUCUAAUUCAACUUAAAGGUGUAAAAAAUGUUCAAAGUAAAACCUGCACAUGUUAAAAACCAAACCCCAUGAGAGUUACCGUGAUGUGUUUUCCUCUAACCCCCGGCCUCCCGUCCUGUAGAGACUGCUGUUGUGGCCAGGUAGUUGCUGGAGUUUUCUGGAGAGCUCUUGUAUGCACUUUGCUGUGAGGUCCUGAUAAACCACAGGCCCUGUGUUACUCCGGGUGGGUCAGAUGACGGUGCUCUGAGCUCACUGUGUACCUGUGCUCUUGUCUGCCUUGGGCACUUCAGUGUCUGUGUGCAGGUCCAUGUUUGAAUUACCCAUUCCCCUUUUGAGGAACAACUAAGGUUGUUUCCAGCAACUUUUACUGUAUGUAAAUCUAUGCUAAGUAUCAGUUUCUAUGUGUUUCAAUGUACAUGGCAGCUAUAUCUGUGCUGUACACUUCUUUUGAGGGAAAUUCUGGCCCGUAGUUCUUCCUUUCCAAACAUGAGGGAGCCAUCAGCUUACACUCCAGGAAGGCUGUUCUGGUUGACCAUUCCCUACACCUUUACUGACACUGUUCUUGAACUUGGUUAUUUGUCUAUGUGAAAAGUAAAAACAGUUAUUUCAUUGCAGUUUUGAUUUGCAUUUCUAUUGGGGUGUGUACUUAGGGAAUUUUAAGAGUUCUUAGGGCUCCCCUGUGGCUCAGCUGGUAAAGAAGAGCUCUUAACAUCCUAGUUAAUAACCCUUUGUGAUUUGUUUGUCAUUUACCUUUAAAUUUUAUGCUUCUAGAUUUUUUGGUGUUCAGAAGUUUUAAAUAUAUUUAAGCUUUUUUAUGAGUGUUUUCUUUUAUGACUUCUGGAUUUUAUGAGAGGAAAUGGCAGCCCACUCCAGUACUCUUGCCUGAAAAAUCCCAAGGACGGAGGAUCCUGGUAGGUUACAGUCCAUGGGGUCGCAAAGAGGUGGACACGACUGAGCGACUUCACUUUCUUUCUUUGAGAAGGACUAAUCCAGCUCAAGAUUAUUUUUUGUUAAACCUUGUGUUUUACCCAGUUCUUUUAAAGUUUUAUUUUUAUUUGAAUCUUAGCUCCAUCUGGACUUAAUCUUGUCAUAAUGAGUGACUGGUAAUCAGCCUAUCAUCCCUCCAUGACUUACUGGUUUAUGUACCUGUUCACCAUUUAUCUGUCCAUGUUCCAGUUCCAGUUUUCAGUACUGUAGUUCUGUGCCUCAUUAUACGGUGAAGGUAGGCCUGCCUCAUUAUUUCACUCCCAGAUUUUCCUGGGGGUUCUUGCCUGUUUCCUUCUCCUUCCGUAUGAUGGCUUCAUGCUGUUGUCUCCCUGUGCGAGGAUAAGCAUGUCCUCCUGUUUACUCCCGUUAUUUUGCUUUGGGUCCAUAGGAUGUGGAAAGCUGUGGUCCAUUAGACUGAUCUUAAUCUGUCUGUAAUUAAUAUUUUCAUGACUCUGUAAUGGUUACUCUCACACAUUUGUAUGACUGUUGUAGCCAUUUUCUUCCUGUGUGUCUGGGCGUCCUAACCUGCUUCGAGAGAGCCCCCAGCAGCCACCCUCAUGACCACCCCCAUCACAGCACUUAAAUGUUUUUCUGCUGCGCCUAAUGGGUACUUGUCACUAUUGAACUGACGAUGUCGUGUUCAGUGGACUUUACAGGUGAAAUGCUCGAAAACAUACUGCCAACAAUGCCAAUAGCUUUCUGCAGACCCAACGUGAAGAAUGAAUCUGGCAUAUUCUAGGAGGUGACCUCCUAGGAAGGGAGUUCAGUGGGAGGGUUUGCCUUCUGAACCUCUGUCCCUGUGUGGCUGACUGCUGUCAGCUAGAAUGAUCUGUGUACCCAGAAUGUCAAGGGGAAUCCUGUCCUGGAAAGCAGCGCCUGACCCUGAACUGCCUUUUUCUCCUGUCCAUGCCUGACACUGUUUACAGAAUGUCUUGCAUGCUUUCCUGCCUUAUCAGAGUGGUUAUGCAAACUAGAAUUUACCAUUGCUUUAGCGUCUCAAGGCCACCAUCCACAUCCAUGUUGUCCUGUCUGGCACACGGCAGUUGAUUUGGGGUCUGCUUCAGUGGCCUGUUUUUUCCCUUGCUGACCAUCCUCCCCAGCGCAGCCCUUCCUCAGAGUUGGCGCAGCCCUCCUGUCCCAGACUUGCAGUGUCUGUACUAGGGGCUGACUGAAGGUGAUCGGAGGUGACAGCCAGGCCUUCAGUUAUUUUACUAUUUCACCUGUGCGUCAGUGGUGGCCUGCGUCUCUUCAGAGGUAAUGUGUAUGGGUUUGUUUUUCAACCCAAACAAUUCUGUUUUCUGAUUAUGAUUUUUUUCUCAUUUACUGUUGAAAUACACCAGGAUGCUUUUCUUUGUCUUGGAAGAUGUUCUUGUGCAGAAAUCUGAUUGUUUCCUUAGGGGAAUAUCUUACUGGUGACAUUACUGGCUCAGUGGGCAUGGCCAGUGUGAAGGCUUUCGUCUCACGUUUCUGAGUGUCUUCUUGAAAGGCCAGCACACUUCAGCCCGGCCCUGCCCUUUUCUUGGCAGUUUAAGCCAAACUGAUUGGCAGUUUAAGCAGUGUCUUAGUGUUUUAAUUUGCACGUUUGACUCUGUAGGGCUGAAUAUACACUGUCUGUAUUUGUUAGUUGGUCUCUGCAUCUGCUUUGUGCUUCACUUGUUUUCAUCGCUUCCUGAGAAUCCUUUUUAAUGUUGAGGACAUUUACUGUAGAUAACUACAAAAUGUUUUUCAAGUUUGUAAUUUGCUUUUUAAGUUUACAUCUUGGAUCUUGCUGUUGGUUUUAAAUUUUGCAACCAAAUCUGAUUUUAUCAUUAGGGUUAUGUACUUCGGUGUCACUGCACAGCCUGUGGGAUCUUAGUUCGAAUCCAGACCCCUGCAGUGGAAACGCAGAGUUGUAACCACUGACCUGCCAGGAAAGUCCUUUUCCUGGUUCUUUUGUGGUUUCAUUUUUGAUAUUUAACGUUUUACUCCAUCUAGAAGUUUUGGUGUACAAUAUGAGGUAAGAAUCUAAUUUAGAUCUUUUGAAAUGGUUAACAAAUUUUCCCACACCUUUACUAAAUAAUUGCCCUCGCUACUGAUUUGUUAAUUAUGGGCUAAAUACUCUGAAUCUGUUCAUGAACUCUUCAGUCUGCUCCACUGAUGUCUUACCUUGUGCCAACCCAAUGUUUUAAGUAUUUAGCUUUAUAAUAUCUGCUUUAAUAUAAGUAAUACAGGCCCCCGCCAUUCUUUUUUCAAGUAUUUGGAUUUUAUUGGAGUUGAAUUGCAUUUAUAUAUAUGUUACUGAAACUUCCCGUUUAGGAACUGGCCUCCCUGUUAACUCAGGAUAGGAUGAUUUUCACGUCUCUUGGGAAUUUUAGACUUCAUUCAAAUUAAGCACGUUUAUGAAGUAUGUUCCUAGAAGCAUUCUGUAUUGUGGUUGGAUACAUAUUUCUAUUAAACUUUCUGACUAUGGUAGCAUAUGGUAAGACUGGUUUUAUGUAUUUUAUAAACAAACACAUUGAACUUCAUUACUAGAGCCAGUUGAGAUGCAAUAUAGCAUCUUGGCUAAAAGUGUGGACUUUCGAGUCAGGUGACCCUACUUUGAUGCUGGGCCUGCCUCAUUUCUGUGUGACCAUCUCUCUGCCUCGGUUUUCCCAUCUGUACAGGGAGGGGAGUGCUAAUCGUAUUAUCUGUGAAGAAGUGGGAUGAGGACUAAUGGAGCAAUGUAAGCUUUGUGCUUGGUGCUGGCCUGCCAUGGAGUGAGCACUGUUCAAAGUGGUUUCCAAGUAACGAACGUCAUCUUUAAUCAUAUUAUCCAUAUGAUUUAUUCCAUUUUCAUGCUUCUCUCCUGUCUUGUUUGCAUUGGCUGUAAUUACAUUGUGAUCCUGUUCCCUUCUGAGCCACCCAUUAGCAAAUGGAGGAGGCCACGCAGGCAGCCCACACCAAGUUGCCCAAGGGAGUGAUUGUUCUGCUGGUGGUCCUCAAGAUGAGUUGGGGUGAUCUGCUGAUAUACAUUUUAAAUUUCAAUAUUGAUUUUUUUUUUUAAACAUGUACUUGGAAAUUCCUUGUUUUCCACUUGUGGCAAUACAGUUUCCUUUUAACUAGAUUUAUUUUUCCUUUUUUAACUGAAAUAUUCACAGUACCAUAAAAUUCAUGCUUUCAAAGUGUAUGAUUUAAGUGGGUUUUAGUAUGUUCAGUAUGUUGUGAAUGUGCUGUGUGUUCACAUUAGUUCACGUACACUAAUGUUCCAUUUCCAUUAUCCAUUUCCAGAACUUUUUAUUAUUUCAAACAGAAGUACUCUUACCCCUGCAGUUUCCCAUCUUCCAACCCUACCCCCCAUCCCUGGUUCCUUUAUUACACUCUCUGGCUCUGUGAAUUUGCCUUUUCUUGAUACCUUGUAUAAGUGGAAUCAUAUGAUGUUUGUCCUUUUGUGUCUGCCUUACUUAGCAUGGUGUUUUCAAGGUUCAUCCAUGUUGUGGCAGGCAAUAAUAUUUCUUUUUGUGACUGAGUAAUAUUUCAUGAUAUGGAUAUACCAUAUUUGUUCAUCCAUUCAUCAGUUGGACAUUUGGAUUGUCCCACCAUUUUUGCAAUUAGAAGUAAUUCUUCUGUGAACAUUUGUGUACAAGUUCUUGUGAAAACACAAGUUUUAAGUUCUCUGGUAUAUACCUAGGCGUGGAACUGCUGGUUCAUACAACAACUCUGUUUAACUUUAACCAGAGUGUUUCUCAGUCGAGCUAUGCUGUUUCACGUUCCCAUCAGUAAUAUUUGAGGGUUCCAGUUUUCCCACAUUCUUGCCAACACUUGUUCUUACCUUUUUGGUUGUAGCCAUCUGAGUGAAAAUGAUGGUGGCAUCUCAUAAUUUCGAUUCGCCUUUCUGUGAUGACUGAUAAUGUCAAGCACAUUUUUAACGUGUUUGUUAGCCACGUGUGUAUCUUCUUUAAGGAAGUGUCUAUACUGAUCCUUUGCCAUCUUUUUAAUUGGGUAUUUGUCUUCUCAUCAUUGAGCUGUGAGUUCUUUAUAUAUUCUGGAUGCUAUACCCUUAUCUGAUAUAUGAUUUCCUCAUGUUUUCUCCCAUUCUGUGAGUUGCAACUCUACUUUCUUGAUACUGUCUUUUGAAAUAAGUUAAUUUAUAUUUUAAAAGUUAGUUGAUUUAAGGUGGGGGGGAAUAGGACUGCUGUAUUCAGAUGUGGCAAAAAGAUAUGUGAAUUAAGGUUUGGGAAAGUGUCUUCUGUGAAACCACAGUGGGGAGAAAAGAGUGCGAACCUUAAAUGAGAAGUAAGUGAAUGAGGAGCGCUAUCCCUCCAUAGUGAUGUCAGCCGGCUCACUGCUAGAUGCACUGGGAUCAUUUGUUAGUAGAUUAUGAGGAAGCUUCUAUUUUAUUUUUUAAAUCAGUGAUAGAUAGGGAUUUAUUAAUGUCUUUUCUGCAUCUUUUGAGAUGGAGCAUCAGGUUUUUCUCCUUUCAUUUUCUAAUGAUCAAGAAUUAAUGGGAUAGUAAGCCCUCCUAUGACUUCUGAAACAAACUUUUCCAGGCCUGGAGCUCUAUUUUGUCGACAGAAAUGAACCAGAGGGUCGACUUUGACUUGGGGCCUUGCCAGGCAGGCAGGUGUGGGGAUCUCAGGAAAGGCAGACAUAACUUCAGGGCAUUGCUUUGAGCUCUGACAGCUGGUCUCUGUUCCCUGCUUUGGUGCUUUUGGCCAAAUUCCUUAAAUUCUUAAAGCCAAUUUCCUGAGAAUGGGGUAAAAACAGUGCAUGGCUCUCCAACGGUGUGAAGCUGAAGUGAGGGUGCAUGUGAUGAGGGCGCUGCGAGGUGAGUGGCGGCGCCACCCUUCCCGUCCGUUAUGACAGAAACACAUAACGAUGGAAAGUUCCCAGCUUUCUCUUCCCAGAUCGCACAGUGUUGGGGGUUCUGCCGCUUCUUUUUGGAGGUUGAGUGGUUCUUUGAAAACGGACUAGUCAAUAUUUCUAUCUGAUCAUACACUUUUCAGGUUUAUUUUCUAAGAAAAUUACGUCGUUCAUACGUAUUAGUGUGCAAUAUCCUUUUACAUUUUAUUUACAUUUUAAUAUCCUUAUGAGUAGUUUUCUUCACUUUGUUCUUUGUUUUAAAUCAACUUCUUGUUGACUGUGCUGAGUCUUCGUUGUCGUGCACGGGCUGUCUCUAGCUGCGGUGAGCUUGGGCUGCUCUCUAGUUGCCCCACGCAGAAUUCCCACUGUCAGUGGUUUCUCCUGUUGUGGAGCCCCAGCUCUAGGGCAGGUGAGCUCAGUAGUUGUGGACGGGCUUAGCUGUCCGGUGGCAUGUGGAAUCUUCCUGGACCAGGGAUCACACCUGUGUCCCCUGCAGGUGGACUCUGAACCACUGGACCACCACGGAAGUCCUUCACUAUGUUCUUCCUGCUGGUUUUUCUUUUUCUUGAAUAGUCUUUUAAGAACUCUAUUUUAUUGACCUUUUCAAAGAAGCAGCUUUAGAUAAAAUAAGUAGUUCUGCUGCUUUCAUUUUGUAAUUCAUAAAUUUCUGCUUUUAUUUCACUCUUCUCUCCGGCUUUCCUUGGACUUUGUUCUGUUACUCUCUUUCUAGAGUCUUGCAUACCUCAUUCACUCAUGUUCAGACUCACACACUUAACAACGGAAAGAGGUGGAGGAGAAUGGCACAGGGUGGCUGUGGCCUGAGGUCCUGCUCCAGCCCCGCAGCUCUGUCAUCCCUGUGACCUUGGACAGGGCCCUCAACUACUGAGGUGUGGGGCCUAAGAGAGGCUACUGAUGCCACCCAGGAGGAUGUACCCAUGCCAGCUGGUGGCUGGGGCCUGGCAGACACAUGGAGAGGGAAUUCAGCAAAGAGAAGCAGUGAACUGCUGUCGCCUCCUUCAAGCUUUGACUUCUAACGCUCGUCUCCAUGGCCAGACCCUGAGCUGGUCCCCAGGAACACAGGUAAACAUGACGACUGGCCCUGCUUUCAUGGUACACGUUGUUUUUUAACUAUGGUAAUCAGGCUGUGGCUUACCGAAUGGUUACUUGAAGAAGUGACGAGAAGUAGUUCUAAACACUACUGCUUUUUUGAAUCUAUGGCUCCCUUUGUUCAUUGCUUAAAGUAUUUUUAUAAAUGUUCCACGGCACUCAAGAAGGUAUUCUCUGAUAUGUUCCACAUUCUGGAUCAGUCCUUCUGUGUGUUUUUUGGUCUGGUUCAAAUCCAGUCUUUUUGUAUGAGAGGAGUGUGGUUACACUCUCAGCACCUCUUCUGGUUCUCCCCACGUCCCCCAAGAUGGUUCAGCAGCUCUGUUCUCUGUGUUUUGCUGCAGCAUCAUUGGAACAAGAUCUGCCUGUUUGCUGCCUGCUUGGAAUUCCCUUUGUCUGAUGUAGACAGGGCAGACCUUCACCCCACCCCACCCCCGGCCUGGCCAUGUCUCAUUUGCAUUUGACUGAAGUACCUGUGGAGAGUUAUUUUCAACCAGAAUUUGAAACUAUUUUUACGUCUUUCUGCCUAUGUAUGUGUGUUCAUUUUACGUCGCUAAACUGCUAGCUAUUUUGCUUUUUCCACUUCAGGUUACGUUGUGGGCACAGUUACCCUCUGAAAGCAUGCACCUGUUCUAAUUGAGGCCCCUAGGCAUCCCAGGUGGGAGACUGUCAUGCUGCCUUGUGAGCCACAGCAGCUGGGGUCCAGCAUUUUGUGAUGACAGAUGACUGUCACAGACGCCUUUGGGCAAAUCCCUCAUGGCCUUGCAUUCCCCACUGGAACCCCAAAGGGAAGCAGCAGUCGCCUAGUUCUCCUUGCUCACUGCCCUGUGCCCCCCAGAUGGCUCUCAGUGGCCAGUGACGCGCUUACAUUUGCUCACUGACUAUGAGUGUGUGGUGGUUUCCUGACACCACUUUAAUGUUAACCCCUUUAGCCGGUGGCAUGUUUCCCUGUGUAGAUCACCCUCUGGGUUUCCCGAAGUACAAACAGUGAGGGCCUUGUCACUAACGUGUCAAAUUAACUCUUUGCUCAUCUUGCAGAGUGUGUUUUGACUACCCCCAUUUCUGGGGCCUUUUAAGGUCAGAGCUUUGUUGCUUCUUCAUCAGGUUGGGACUUAGAUGGCCAUGCACGUCUCUCUCUCCUGCUGCAAUAAGUAAGUGCUGCCUUUUGUUGCGUGUUUGGGGAGGUGAGUUGAAGGAAGGCUGUGAGGGGAGAUGGGCUAGAGAGAGGGACAUGGACACAAGGGAUGUGGGUGAGGGGAUGGAGGCUUGGGCCACAGGCCUGGCUCUGAGCCCGCCUGGUGGGCCCCAGGCCUUGGGUGUGGGGUGUGUGUGAACGGGGUCAGCUCUGCUCACACCUCUCAGCCUGAUGUUUGUGGCCCUGAGCAGGUCUGCGUCCUCUCUGACCCUCUCAGCCUUUCAUCUGGACUUUGCAAAGGAAGGGGCUUCUGAGCUCCUCGGGGCUGACAGCAGGGGGCCAGGAGCCCUCUCCCUGUGAGAGGCCGGGGCAGAACUUCUGGAUGAAGGUUACGGAGCUGGGAGGGGUGCACCCACUGGACCGGUCGUGGGCCCAGGGGAGGCAGAGCCUGGCCUGGGAGCAGUGGGUGCUGCGGGCAGGGGGCUGAGAGGGAGAGCUGGGGGGAGGUACUGGCCAGGGUCCACAGUGAGCCCCUUGCACCUCUGGACCCUAGAACGCAGGCCCCGCUGAGGCGGUGAGAGGAGAGACUGGUGGGGACCCUGUGCUUCCGACUUCAUCUUCCAGUCAAGGCAGUUCCCAGGAGGGAUUCCACAGCUGACGAUGGCUGAGACGGAGGACAGCAGGCGAGGCAGCCCUACUACGCAGAAGUGACUUCUCAAGUGUCUCAGGGUCUCGGAGGUCUCUGCACCCACACACAUCCUGUCACUGCUGGCCCUGUCCUAGAAGCAUCAGGAUUGUGACUCGUGGGUGGGUCUGCCCGUCGGAUGUCACGUGCUCCCGGAUGCUGUGCAGCGCAGCACGACAGGGGACACAUCUCUGUGAAGCUGAGGGGACGCGUGUCCCCUGGCUGUGCCUGGGAAAGGGGUGUCCGGGGAGGACUGAGCCUGGGGGGACAGGGGGCACGGAGCCGCCGCAGGUGUUUCUUUUCCUGGAUGCGGCUCAUGGCCGCAUCCAGGUUUUGCUUUUCACCUUUGAGUCUGUGAGAAAACGAGCAGGAAAAAGCAAAAGGCGCUGGUGUUGGCACGCCUGGCACUGCUGGGCUGGGGUUCGAGUCCCUGCAGCGUCCCUGCUUCCUUCCGGCUCCCCACUCCAGGCCCUUCCCGCCUCAUCAGGCAUCGUGGUCCCCAAGGAGAGAGGUGUGGGGGUGGGGCACGCAGGGCCUCUCCCAGGAGCCCUCCAGCCCCGCUCGGCCCCUCAACCCCUGGAGGGGCCUGGCUGAGACAGCAGACACGGAAGGUGGCUGGAGCUCAAGGGCUCUACAGGUUGCAGCCCCCCUCCCCCAGGCCACGUGUGGUGGGCGGACACGGAAAGGGGAGGACAGCCAGGGUGUGCUCCCCACCUGGCCUUAUCCACCCAGGGCUCCCGGGAUCAACUCACCACUGCCCUCCUCUCUGCUUCUGAGGGCCAGGAAGGGCUGGGUGGACAAGGUAGGCCUGGCUGAAGUGGGCAGGUCGUGGAGUGGCCCUGGGGAGCGGGAAGAGAGGCCAACAAGCAGGCCUCGGUGCAGAAAACGCAAGAGGGGCCUGAGUGGCCCUGAGCCUGCACUCUCCCGGCACCUGGGACUGGACGCAGGACCCCAGGAGACCCCAGCUCAGAACCCAACAGGGGUGGCUGUGAUCCUAGGCAAGCCCCAACACAAGCUGACAUUGGGUGCCUCGUCUCUCAGCCUCAGAGUUUCCCUCUGCCCGUCGCCUAACUUUGACCAGCUUCCCUCAUUCCCACCUUCCGAGAGGUCAAGAGGAUCACAACCCAUUUUGCUGGACCUGAUGCUGACAGUCUGCAACUCGAAACAGGGCUGCCUGGGCUCCAGUCAAACCCUGCGAUUCCCGAGGGAGCCCCUGCCCAUCACUGCAAUAAUCUCUCCCUUUAACAACACGCAUCCCAUAAAGAACAGCUGGAAGCAGGAGGGGAGGUAUGCCAAGUUGGCCUGGGACACAGGGCUCUCGGAGCCCAGUUUGAACACCAGGUUCCUAAUCCCCUAUCCCUGAAAAGGCGGAGACCAAGAAGUCUGACCCACCCACUGGCCGAAUGUCUCUCCCUCUCCUCAUCUAGAGCUGCUGUGGGAGGCUGCUGGGGGCAGCAGGAGCUCCACAAACUAGCCCUCAAUCACAGAUCACACCAGGACAGCAUGAUAGGCAGGCCUUGGGUCUGUGUCUGAAGCAAAGAAACAACCAUCUUUCUCUCAGCCACUGGCCUCCAAUGAUGGGAAGAAACUCAACAGGUGAAAGGAGAGCAUUCCAAGUAGGAAGCAAGGCGGCAGGGGCCUGGAGGUAGAAAAGCAUUGGGUUCAAUUUGCCGGGAGUCUGGGAGACUAGUGGGCUACAAACAAGGUUGGAAAAAGGGUUGGGCUCUGAUGUGUCUGCUCCUCCGACCUGUGGGACUCGAGUAAGGAGAUGCAUUUGAAGAAUUCUGACACAAACGUUUUAAUUACAGGUCUAACUCAAGAGGCUAUUUAUCUAGUCUGUGCCAAACACUGUUCUGAAUAUUUUAUAAAUACGUUAACUUGGGGACUUC